rnacentral:rRNA from 1 species
GACGAACGCUGGCGGCGUGCUUAACACAUGCAAGUCGAACGGUGAAGCGAGUGCUUGCACUCGUGGAUCAGUGGCGAACGGGUGAGUAACACGUGAGUAACCUGCCCAUCACUCUGGGAUAAGCACUGGAAACGGUGUCUAAUACUGGAUACGACCAACCCUUGCAUGGGGUGUUGGUGGAAGGAUUUAUCGGUGAUGGAUGGACUCGCGGCCUAUCAGCUUGUUGGCGGGGUAAUGGCCCACCAAGGCGACGACGGGUAGCCGGCCUGAGAGGGUGACCGGCCACACUGGGACUGAGACACGGCCCAGACUCCUACGGGAGGCAGCAGUGGGGAAUAUUGCACAAUGGGCGAAAGCCUGAUGCAGCGACGCCGCGUGAGGGAUGACGGCCUUCGGGUUGUAAACCUCUUUCAGCAGGGAAGAAGCGAAAGUGACGGUACCUGCAGAAGAAGCACCGGCUAACUACGUG